rnacentral:lncRNA from 1 species
AAGGCUGACUUCACAGAGUCUGGGUGACCUCACUACCUGACACCAACAGAUGGUAGAUUGACCAUAUAGAGAUGUUUUCCAGAGCUGUGGACAUAGUCAGAAAGGGGGCUCUAGCCCAGCACUGGAAAAAGGAUCCUGGCUAGAAGAAACAAGUUCUUUCCAGCCUUCCUCCUUUCCUUAUAGCCCCCUCAACUAUACACGACAAAGAAUCCUGGGGAAUAGGGAGACCACUUUAGAUCAGUUGAUCUGCGAAGGCCUCCCUGAGGAGGUGAGCCUGGAUGACAAGAAAUGGUAAAAGAGGGCUCCAGAACAUGGAAGUAACAAGGUCAAUGCCUCGGGAAUGGGCAGGCUCAGUGUUCAGGAACUGAAGAGAGGCCAGUGUGGUUGCAACACAGACCAGCCCUUCUCUUGAUCCCAGCCACCAGCAGAGAAGCUACCAUAACAUAUGGGGUUCCAGUGAGACCAUAUAAGGAGAGUGUACCACAGCAGAUGCCUGAUGGAGACAUUCCAGUGACCACCAGGUUGUAUUCAUCUUCUGCAGCUGCCAGAUUACCACAAACCUAGUCACUUGAGA